GACGAACGCUGGCGGUGUGCUUAACACAUGCAAGUCGAACGGAAAGGCCCUGCUUUUGUGGGGUGCUCGAGUGGCGAACGGGUGAGUAACACGUGAGUAACCUGCCCUUGACUUUGGGAUAACUUCAGGAAACUGGGGCUAAUACCGGAUAGGAGCUCCUGCUGCAUGGUGGGGGUUGGAAAGUUUCGGCGGUUGGGGAUGGACUCGCGGCUUAUCAGCUUGUUGGUGGGGUAGUGGCUUACCAAGGCUUUGACGGGUAGCCGACCUGAGAGGGUGACCGGCCACAUUGGGACUGAGAUACGGCCCAGACUCCUACGGGAGGCAGCAGUGGGGAAUAUUGCACAAUGGGCGGAAGCCUGAUGCAGCAACGCCGCGUGCGGGAUGACGGCCUUCGGGUUGUAAACCGCUUUCGCCUGUGACGAAGCGUGAGUGACGGUAAUGGGUAAAGAAGCACCGGCUAACUACGUG
rnacentral:rRNA from 1 species